CCUACGGGGGGCAGCAGUGGGGAAUCUUCUGCAAUGCGCGCAAGCGUGACAGAUUGAGUCAGAGUGCUUUUCAUAUGAAAAGCUUUUGCCAAAUGUAAAAAGUUUGGCGAAUAAGGACUGGGUAAGACGGGUGCCAGCCGCCGCGGUAAUACCCGCGGUCCAAGUCGCAGCCAUUAUUAUUGGGUCUAAAACAUCCGUAGCUUGCUUAGUAAGUUUCUUGUGAAAUUCCAUGUCUUAAAUAUGGAGCGGGCAAGAAGUACUGUUAAGCUAGAGACUGGAAGACGUAAGAAGUACGUUUGGAGUAGCGGUAAAAUGUGUUAAUCCCAGACGGACUAACAACAGCGAAGGCAUCUUACGAGGACAGUUCUGACAGUAAGGGAUGAAGGCUAGGGGCGCGAAAGGGAUUAGAUACCCCCGUAGUCC
rnacentral:rRNA from 1 species